GACGGAGGAUGCAAGUGUUAUCCGGAAUCACUGGGCGUAAAGCGUCUGUAGGUGGUCAAAUAAGUCAACUGUUAAAUCUUGAGGCUCAACCUCAAAAUCGCAGUCGAAACUAUUAGACUAGAGUAUAGUAGGGGUAAAGGGAAUUUCCAGUGGAGCGGUGAAAUGCGUAGAGAUUGGAAAGAACACCGAUGGCGAAGGCGCUUUACUGGGCUAUUACUAACACCAAGAGACGAAAGCUAGGGUAGCAAAUGGG
rnacentral:rRNA from 1 species